GCUGUCGUCAGCUCGUGUUGUGAAAUGUUGGGUUAAGUCCCGCAACGAGCGCAACCCUUAUCCUUUGUUGCCAGCGGUCCGGCCGGGAACUCAAAGGAGACUGCCAGUGAUAAACUGGAGGAAGGUGGGGAUGACGUCAAGUCAUCAUGGCCCUUACGACCAGGGCUACACACGUGCUACAAUGGCAUAUACAAAGAGAAGCGACCUCGCGAGAGCAAGCGGACCUCAUAAAGUAUGUCGUAGUCCGGAUUGGAGUCUGCAACUCGACUCCAUGAAGUCGGAAUCGCUAGUAAUCGUAGAUCAGAAUGCUACGGUGAAUACGUUCCCGGGCCUUGUACACACCGCCCGUCACACCAUGGGAGUGGGUUGCAAAAGAAGUAGGUAGCUUAACCUUCGGGAGGGCGCUUACCACUUUGUGAUUCAUGACUGGGGUGAAGUCGUAACAAGGUAACCGUAGGGGAACCUGCGGUUGGAUCACCUCCUU
rnacentral:rRNA from 1 species